GGAACGUGUUCCCUAUUCUGCCACCUCUCACUACAACCAAAGUUUUGGUCGUCAACCUCGUCCGCUUCUUCCAGCAUUCCGUCAUCUCGCGCGGGCCCAACUGGGCCAAAGCCCAAGUAACUCGAGGGGAACGGAAACCCUAGGCAGUAGGCACCCGAAACCCUCGCUCCUCACCCGGGACGCAAUCCUCGCGCUCACGCAGCCCGCCUCCAUCUCCACAUCCCGCCGCCCGCCCGCCGCCCCCUCCUCCCUUUGGCAGUAGAGAGCAGCUUCCAACAGCAUCUCCACAUCCCAUCUCCCCUUCUGCCUUUUCCUCGGCGGCGAGGUUAUGGCAAAUCCAUGUCAUCGUCUCCCCCGUCUAGAGUCAAGAAUGGAUUGGCCAUGAGUCAGGGACAAUCGCUCUGGAUCUACGAAGAAAUAGCACGGGGAGCUUAUAUUACUGAAGUAAAUUUUGACAAUCGCUCAUGGUCAAUCCAGUAAACUCUAACCCAGUCUCUGGUGGUACCUUCGCCAAGCCUCCGCGCGACUGCCAUCCCCACAUCCCUCGCCAAGCCUCCGCGCGACCAGGUUCUCACGGUGCCGUCGCCCCCGACCUCCGACCUCUCGACCACCCCAUCUCCCGGCUUCUCAAUCUGAUCAACGCCUUCCUGGACAGGAGCUCGGCCCAGCCUCCGUACAUGCCGAACUUCCGCCGGCCUGUGCAGGAGCUCACCGGUGGCGCUCAUCUACUCGACGCCGGCCUCCCAAUCUGCUCGCCGCCGGACUGUGCCUGUUGAUCUACUUGACGACGGCCUCCCGAUCAGCUCGCCGCCGGUGACCCGAUCUGAUCGCCACCGGCCUAUACAGGGAGCUCCCAGACGAUGCGUUACUGACCAAACCAUGGGGCUGUACGGGAGAACGGAUCAGAAUCUAAUUGCACCCGGAUUGGCAAGAGACAUAAUAAUCUGCUUACCGUAGCAAGCGGUGUCGACGUCGGCGGCUGGCUCGCCCAGAUCAGACCUGGAGGGCCACGACCUGGAGGCCACGGAUGAUGCCGUGGUUGCAGCUAGAACGUGAGGAUGCAGAUGUGCGAGCCUCCGUGACACAGGUGAACUCUAGGCUCGCCCGGUGCGUGUGUCUUGGCAAGUCAGCUCUUGGCGUUGGUCAUCAACUCCUCUACACCUCCACAGGAGACAUGCCGCAGUGCAGACGUGGCAGGUCCAUAGUGCAGGAGUCAGGAAUCGACCCGGCCUCAUCUGGAUCCUACAGCGGUGACAAGGUAAUGUGAACAACAAAAAGUAUUUUCUUAAUCUUAUUUUCUGGUUCUUAGAAAGUUAUUGUACUCUAUGUAGGCUAAACAGAAGUUUCAUCGCCACUGUAGAAUAUCAGUUUACCUAUAAGAGAUCUUUGGAUUUUUUGAGGGUUAUGGUGUUUUGCGAAUUAUGGUUGGAUUCGAGGAAAAUUAUUACUGUUCGUGUUUUACCACACCAAAACGCAUUUGUGAAUAACAUUUACUUUCCAUAUACUGUCUGAAUUCUGAAACAUCGGUUCCUUGUGUGCAUGACUUCUUCCUCCCCUUCCGAUGUAGAAGCUUUUAGUAUGCUUCACAUUUUUGAAGGGCAUGCAUUUAUUUUUCCUGUACUGUUAGUACCUUCCAGCGGUAGGUUACUUGUAGUUGGUAUUUAUAAUCAAUUGUCUACAUCGAAUUAUUUAUUUGUUCAGGACCAUGAAGCGUCAAAUGAUGUAUUUAAUCAACGUAAUGGCAAAUGCCAUUUUCCUUGGCUACCAAACAACAUAUUUAAUCAACGAUUUGAGAUUGUCAACACCGCUUCCCUAUCAUCGUCCAUGGAGUAUGAGGUCAUCUAGCGCCUCUUCAACACCUGCUUUAUAUAAUUAUCUUUUUCCUUUUUUAUAGACUUAUUUCUCCUUAUGUUUUACUAAAAAUGUAAAAUAGUUAGCUAAACCUUGAAAUAAUAGCCAGCACCUUAUUUUUCCCAAUUACAAAAUUACAGAAUUGACCUUUAUUGCAUCUUAAUGAAAAAGUAUGAGAAUCUAAUUUACGAGCCCCCUUACCAAAAACAAUAUGAGGCAUCUAAAUGACCUUUCAUCAGUUUGUUCGUCAAUACUCAUCUCUUAGCUGAAGUCAAUACUCCCAUAUACAAUCUCUUAUUUUGGAUGAUGAUGAUGAAGAAGAAGACCUUCGUUCUCCACCUUCAGAUGAAAGAGAAUUCUUUGUACCAGAGACUCUUUGAGGUACUAAUAUAUUCAUUUGAAUUAGUGCUGAAGAGCUGUCUAAUUAGCUUCCGUUAUUAUUAGCAGCCUGAAGUGCUAAUUAGUGAGUCAGUGAGUAUGGAAGUUCUCAUUAAAGUUCUUUGCACCUCUAAUUAGCAGCCUGAAGUUCUUUGACGAAAUGGGUGAAGACGGAAGUGAGUACAACUACUUAGAUUGCUCACUUUUCCCUUGCUUAUUGCAUUCCAUAAAUUAUAUGAUAAUUAACAUUAUAUUUUGAUAAAAUUGAGAAAUAACAAUGAUGCACACGUUUGAAACAAGAAGGAAAAUAAUAGGAGAACACUAAACAAUUCAAAUGUUCCAAAACCAGAACUUACUCACCAUGUUGAAAGAGAUCCGAUCGGGAUGCUAGAAUUGGACCUGACAGGAGCCAUCAAUGAGGAAAAAAAACGAACAAAACCAAAUUUAAAUUUGGAAGCCAACUCCCAUGGUAUGAUCAGCAAGCAGUCCAGACCCUCGAGUUCUGAUUUUUUUUAUUUUUGAGACGAACCAAAGCAGCUCCUCAACAGAAAGCAAGGCUCCAUGCACAUCCUUCAUCAAGAGUCUGGCUAAAGUCCGCAAAGCCAAAAAUUCAUGAUGGUUUGGAAAGCAAUCUAAGGUUGGGAGCAGCACAGCGUAUGCUCCAGGAACGUUACCCGUAAGCUGAAAAUGGUUUGUAUUACCCUUGUGUCACAAUAUGUUUCUUUACGGUUAUGUAUAUAUAAUCUUGUGGUUUACUUGUACUCCAUUGCUAACAGCAUAUGUUUGUAUAGUAAGAUUAUUGGUCUAUAGUUUUCUGAAAUUGAUUUAUGUUAGUGCCUCCUAUAUAUUUGGAAACAAUCAUUACUUCUAUAUGUCAUUGGCAUACCUUAUGUUCACUCAAAAUUCCAUCAAAUAAACUUCUUUGCAUAAAGUUUUAUCCUGUUUAAACAUAGCAUCGACUCCUCUAUUCAGAGUGAGUAAACAAUAAGAGAAGUGAAUAACACAAUAACUAUAUAGAAGGAAAGAGGAGGGUGUUGGACUCACCAUGUGUUCAGUUCUAUUAUAGUUUUUAUUCUGAAACUUUUGUUACAUUGUCUCCUAUACAUUUGGAAAAUAACUUUUUAUAUUACUUAUUAGGGCUUUCAUUCAAUUAAAAAUUUAAAAUCCAAACAAAGAAAUUUUCCUGCAUUAACCUCUUACCCUAUUUAAACAUGGCAUAGACUCAUUCAGUCUUAUAAACAGUUUUUGAAUGAACAAUAUAAGUUAACAAUAUAAGAGAAGUGAUUGAUAAUAACUUUCUAAAAGGAAGGAUGUGUGAAAGAUGCCAAUAUGAUACAUGUGUGUAGCUGAGGAAAUGGUUGUACGACUCCGAAGUGAUAAUUGUUGGAUACAAUCCGUAGAUUGAAAAAUGUGACAGAGAAGCAAAAUUAGAGAUCAUGCCCAGGAUCGAAUCGAAGAAAGCAUGUAUAAUUUGAUGCAUACAUUGCUACAAUUAAGCUAGGUACGCUGAGCUUCUGGUCCUCAAGCUAAAGGCCAGCGUCAAGUCUCGGUGCGGGGAAUCAGGGGAUGAGCAUAUACCGUCCUCAAGUUUUUCCUGAAACAGACUGAAUGUGAGAUUUAUCAACAACCAACAUUUUCUCUUUGUAACUGUAAAUGCAGGUAUGUCCCUGGUUAGGAUCUUUUGACAAGCAGGAUGGCUUGUAACUUGUGGAGUGAGCUGAACAAAUACGUGGAAGAUCAUAUAUAGGGUUGAGAAGAACGUAUAAAGUUUGUGGUGUGCAGCGAGAAAAGAAUUUCGAUGGAGUUGCAUCUUAUUAAUUUUUUAAAAUAAAGGCAUAGCUAUAGUUUUUGUACAUAUUUUUUUAUAUCUAUUGUGUUUAAUGUGCGGUAAAAGAAUUUUGAGACCCGUGGCAACACACAUGCAUUUAAAUAUUAAGAUAAACAGAUAAACUUAUCAUCCAUUGUAAUAUCUAAAAAUACAAUUGUAUAAGUACAUGAGCUAUUUUUCUUUGUCCGAAGACUCAUUUAUUUAAUUUUCCACAUUUUCUUUUGUUUGAUAGGUGAUUGUGUAAUUUGAAGAACUUUUAUGCCCUAGCAUUUUAUUUCUUUCAUUUAAAUGUUUAACUGACAUCGGGAUAUUUUGGCAAUGGUUCCUUUCUAAUUCAAUUAAAUACUAUUUUGGCAGUUAUAUGUGAUUCAAAACAUGCGGCGUGAUAUUAAAUUCUUAUACAAGUAGGUAUAACCAAAUUACACAAUAUUAGUAUUCUGUUCCCUUACUUAUGAUAACUCUUAUUGAUGGUGGUCUUUCACAGCAAGCGGUCACGAGUAUGCACCUAUGACUGGACGAGCAGCCACAAAGAAAUUGGUUUUGGACAGCGAACAAUUCCAAGACAAUGUUAACAUGAGAUGAUCUGAGCUUAAGACAUCAGGAAAACCCAGAGGCUGGUCUGCUGGGUUGCUAGCUCGCCUUGCUGGUGGCGGCUCUCCUACAAUAGCUCGGAUAUCUUCACAUGCAUUGAUUUUAUAUAUUGUGGCAACCAAAGAUAUUUCAAACCCCGUGGCAACGCACGGGCAAUUAUA